rnacentral:lncRNA from 1 species
UUUGACUAGCUGGAAAAUAGAGAAAUAAAAAGUUGGAGAGUUUCUUUUUCUCUCUCCCCCUAAUAGCCGGCUGAAAAGAGAGUUUGCAGAAGCAAUAAUUAAUGCUUUUGCCACUCAAAACUUCUCUCCCCGUUUCAACUUUCAAGCAAGUCUUCUCCUUCAUCGGGUUGAGAGGAAAGAAACGAAGAUAUAUUCUCUCUCUUUCUUUGGCACGCCU